GAUGAACGCUGGCGGUGUGCCUAAUACAUGCAAGUCGAGCGAACGGACGAGAAGCUUGCUUCUCUGAUGUUAGCGGCGGACGGGUGAGUAACACGUGGAUAACCUACCUAUAAGACUGGGAUAACUUCGGGAAACCGGAGCUAAUACCGGAUAAUAUUUUGAACCGCAUGGUUCAAAAGUGAAAGACGGUCUUGCUGUCACUUAUAGAUGGAUCCGCGCUGCAUUAGCUAGUUGGUAAGGUAACGGCUUACCAAGGCAACGAUGCAUAGCCGACCUGAGAGGAUGAUCGGCCACACUGGAACUGAGACACGGUCCAGACUCCUACGGGAGGCAGCAGUAGGGAAUCUUCCGCAAUGGGCGAAAGCCUGACGGAGCAACGCCGCGUGAGUGAUGAAGGUCUUCGGAUCGUAAAACUCUGUUAUUAGGGAAGAACAUAUGUGUAAGUAACUGUGCACAUCUUGACGGUACCUAAUCAGAAAGCCACGGCUAACUACGUGCCAGCAGCCGCGGUAAUACGUAGGUGGCAAGCGUUAUCCGGAAUUAUUGGGCGUAAAGCGCGCGUAGCGGUUUUUUAAGUCUGAUGUGAAAGCCCACGGCUCAACCGUGGAGGGUCAUUGGAAACUGGAAAACUUGAGUGCAGAAGAGGAAAGUGGAAUUCCAUGUGUAGCGGUGAAAUGCGCAGAGAUAUGGAGGAACACCAGUGGCGAAGGCGACUUUCUGGUCUGUAACUGACGCUGAUGUGCGAAAGCGUGGGGAUCAAACAGGAUUAGAUACCCUGGUAGUCCACGCCGUAAACGAUGAGUGCUAAGUGUUAGGGGGUUUCCGCCCCUUAGUGCUGCAGCUAACGCAUUAAGCACUCCGCCUGGGGAGUACGACCGCAAGGUUGAAACUCAAAGGAAUUGACGGGGACCCGCACAAGCGGUGGAGCAUGUGGUUUAAUUCGAAGCAACGCGAAGAACCUUACCAAAUCUUGACAUCCUUUGACAACUCUAGAGAUAGAGCCUUCCCCUUCGGGGGACAAAGUGACAGGUGGUGCAUGGUUGUCGUCAGCUCGUGUCGUGAGAUGUUGGGUUAAGUCCCGCAACGAGCGCAACCCUUAAGCUUAGUUGCCAUCAUUAAGUUGGGCACUCUAAGUUGACUGCCGGUGACAAACCGGAGGAAGGUGGGGAUGACGUCAAAUCAUCAUGCCCCUUAUGAUUUGGGCUACACACGUGCUACAAUGGACAAUACAAAGGGCAGCGAAACCGCGAGGUCAAGCAAAUCCCAUAAAGUUGUUCUCAGUUCGGAUUGUAGUCUACAACUCGACUACAUGAAGCUGGAAUCGCUAGUAAUCGUAGAUCAGCAUGCUACGGUGAAUACGUUCCCGGGUCU
rnacentral:rRNA from 1 species